ACACGGAGGGCGCAAGCGUUGCUCGGAAUCACUGGGCGUCAAGCGGGUGUAGGCGGUCUAGCAAGUCAGAUGUGAAAGCCCACGGCUCAACCGUGGAAGUGCAUCUGAAACUGCUAGACUUGAGUGCCGGAGAGGGAAGUGGAAUUCCUGGUGUAGGGGUGAAAUCCGUAGAUAUCAGGAGGAACACCGGUGGCGAAGGCGACUUCCUGGACGGCCACUGACGCUGAGACCCGAAAGCGUGGGGAGCAAACAGGAUUAGAAACCCUAGUAGUCC
rnacentral:rRNA from 1 species